ACGUAGGAUCCAAGCGUUAUCCGGAUUUACUGGGCGUAAAGCGUGUGUAGGUGGUUUGUUAAGUUGGGUGUUAAAUCUCUCGGCUCAACUGGGAGUUGUCGCUCAAUACUAGCAGACUGGAGGACGGUAGAGGAAGGUGGAAUUCCGGGUGUAGUGGUGAAAUGCGUAGAUAUCCGGAGGAACACCAGUGGCGAAGGCGGCCUUCUGGACCGUUCCUGACACUCAGACACGAAAGCUAGGGUAGCAAACGG
rnacentral:rRNA from 1 species